rnacentral:miRNA from 1 species
UGCUGGCUCUCUCCCCUGCCAG